AGCGAGCUGGAGAAGAGUGUAUGUAAACAAAGAAGCCUUUUAGCAGGUUACUGUUUUGAUGCUCAAGGCACAAUAACGCUUCGGAACGACAAUUCGUCAAGUUCUUUCGUUUGCUCUCAUAGAACGAGAGACGGAAUCGAUUGAUUGAUUUUCUUUCCAAUUACAAAGAAGUAAAACAACAGUAAAACGUUUGAAAAAAAGUCGAAAGAAAAAAAUAAUGCGAGAAUACGGUGAAACAGAAACACAAAAUAUUUGAAAAAUACUGUUGAAGCAUCGAAACAAUGAAUUCGAUCGCGAACGUCUUUCGAAAAAAACAUGUGAAAUCGAGAGUGCGAAAGUGGAAGGGAAUACGAGAGGGAAAGGAAAGAGAAAAAAAAUAAACGCAGUGCAUUUGUCCCGUCGAGAAAAGCAGAAAAAACGUCGACCACCAACAGCGACUUCGUUGGUCAACAGAAUCACCACUGAAGCGAGUUAUCCCUCCCCAGAUAUCGGUCAAUCAAUCAGAGAAUCCGUCGUCCAGAUUGCACGUGGUGUGUGGUGAAAAAGUAUGCGGCUACAACGUCCUUCGGGCACAUACACGCGAGUUUCCAUCAUCGAUUCAACACGAUUGCUGCGACAUUCGAAGAGCGUAAUCCCCGUUCGUGGGUCCCCGAGGUCGUGGAAGAUUGCAUGUCGUUUUUAUUAACACUUUUAUAUUUUAAUCAUUUUUUUCGAAAGUGUAGUUCACAUUUUUGCCACAUUAUGACGCGUCUUCGAUGACUUGAAAAAAAAUACAAUGUAACUGCUUUUCUCGGCCGUUUGCUGUCGUCUCUCGGGGUCGCAGUUAUAUCGAUCAUCCCAGUGUUUGAAACCUGCUCAUCCCCGGGCUACUCCUAGACGACCCAGUUCGCGCCAUAAACCGGCUGACAACUCCCUUCCACCCCCUUCCUUAAUAUUUCCCGUUUUUUUGACAAUACACAAUAAAAGUCGAAAGAAAG